UACGUAGGGUGCGAGCGUUAAUCGGAAUUACUGGGCGUAAAGCGUGCGCAGGCGGUUCUCCAAGUCCGUUGUGAAAGCCCCGGGCUCAACCUGGGAAUGGCAGUGGAAACUAGGGGACUGGAAUCUGGCAGAGGGGGUGGAAUGCCGCGGUGUAGCAGUGAAAUGCGUAGAGAUGCGGCGGAACACCGAUGGCGAAGGCAG
rnacentral:rRNA from 1 species